GACGAACGCUGGCGGCGUGCCUAAUACAUGCAAGUUGAGCGAUGAAGCUUGGUGCUUGCCCCAAUUUGAAGAGCAGCGAACGGGUGAGUAACGCGUGGGGAAUCUGCCUUUGAGCGGGGGACAACAUUUGGAAACGAAUGCUAAUACCGCAUAACAACUUUAAACAUAAGUUUUAAGUUUGAAAGAUGCAAUUGCAUCACUCAAAGAUGAUCCCGCGUUGUAUUAGCUAGUUGGUGAGGUAAAGGCUCACCAAGGCGAUGAUACAUAGCCGACCUGAGAGGGCGGGCAGCCACAUUGGGACGGUGACACGGCCCAAACGCCCACGGGAGGCAGCCGUAGGGCAUCUUCGGCAAUGGGCGAAAGUCUGACCGCGCAACGCCGCGGCAGUGUAGAAGGUUUUCGGAUCGGAAAACUCUGUUGGUAGGGAAGAACGUUGGUGAGCGUGGAAAGCUCAUCAAGUGACGGUAACUACCCAGAAAGGGACGGCUAACUACGUG
rnacentral:rRNA from 1 species